AAACUAUAGUAAAUUUGUAAUCCACUUACAUAAUUUUAGCUUCUUUUUUCAGUGUGCUUGGCAUGUGUUUUGAACUCCACACAGGCAUGCUAUUACUGAAGUACUAUUACUUAAUUACAUAAGUACAUGUGUGUAUGUGUGACAGAAACAGAGGCCUGAAGGUCCGGAGACAGGGGCCUGAAGGUCCAGAGACGGGUCUGAAGUUCAGAGACAGAGGCCUGAAGGUCCAGAGACUGGGGUCUGAAGGUCCAGAGACGGGUCUGAAGGUCAGAGACGGGUCUGAAGGUCCAGAGACAGGGGUCUGAAGGUCCAGAGACAGGGGCCUGAAGGUCCAGAGACAGGGGCCUGGAGGUCCAGAGACAGGGGCCUGAAGGUCCAGAGACAGGGCUCUGGAGGUCCAGAGACAGGGGCCCGAAGGGCCAGAGACAGGGCUCUGGAGGGCCAGAGACAGGGGCCCGAAGGUCCAGAGACAGGGGCCUGGAGGUCCAGAGACAGGGGCCUGAAGGUCCAGAGACGGGGCUGAAGGUCCAGAGACAGGGGUCUGGAGGUCCAGAGACAGGGGCCCGAAGGGCCAGAGACAGGGCUCUGGAGGGCCAGAGACAGGGGCCCGGAGGUCCAGAGACAGGGCUCUGGAGGUCCAGAGACAGGGGCCGGAAGGUCCAGAGACAGGGCUCUGGAGGUCCGGAGAGAGGGGCCCGAAGGUGCAGAGACAGGGCUCUGGAGGUCCAGAGACAGGGGCCUGAAGGUCCAGAGACAGGGGCCUGAAGGUCCAGAGAGAGGGGCUCUGAAGGUCCAG
rnacentral:lncRNA from 12 species